rnacentral:rRNA from 1 species
CAGGGGAUUGCCCUAGUAACGGCGAGUGAAGCGGCAACAGCUCAAAUUUGAAAUCUGGCGUCUUUGGCGUCCGAGUUGUAAUUUGCAGAGGGCGCUUUGGCAUUGGCAGCGGUCCAAGUUCCUUGGAACAGGACGUCACAGAGGGUGAGAAUCCCGUACGUGGUCGCUAGCCUUUACCGUGUAAAGCCCCUUCGACGAGUCGAGUUGUUUGGGAAUGCAGCUCUAAAUGGGAGGUAAAUUUCUUCUAAAGCUAAAUACUGGCCAGAGACCGAUAGCGCACAAGUAGAGUGAUCGAAAGAUGAAAAGCACUUUGGAAAGAGAGUUAAAAAGCACGUGAAAUUGUUGAAAGGGAAGCGCUUGCAGCCAGACUUGCCUGUAGUUGCUCAUCCGGGUUUCUACCCGGUGCACUCUUCUACGGGCAGGCCAGCAUCAGUUUGGGCGGUUGGAUAAAGGUCUCUGUCAUGUACCUCCUUUCGGGGAGAUCUUAUAGGGGAGACGACAUGCAACCAGCCUGGACUGAGGUCCGCGCAUCUGCUAGGAUGCUGGCGUAAUGGCUGUAAGCGGCCCGUCUUGAAACACGGACCAAGGAGUCUAACAUCUAUGCGAGUGUUUGGGUGUCAAGCCCGAGCGCGUAAUGAAAGUGAACGGAGGUGGGAACCUUUCGGGGUGCACCAUCGACCGAUCCUGAUGUCUUCGGAUGGAUUUGAGUAAGAGCAUAGCUGUUGGGACCCGAAAGAUGGUGAACUAUGCUUGAAUAGGGUGAAGCCAGAGGAAACUCUGGUGGAGGCUCGCAGCGGUUCUGACGUGCAAAUCGAUCGUCAAAUUUGGGCAUAGGGGCGAAAGACUAAUCGAACUAUCUAGAGCUGGGGUCCUGCAGA